rnacentral:tRNA from 1 species
GCCUGGGUGGCUCAGUAGGUUGGGCGUCUGACUUCAGCUCAGGUCAUGAUCUCGCACUUGGUGAGUUCGAGCCCCACGUCGGGCU